AUGAAUAGACUCCUAACACUGAACCAGGUGGUGGACUAUGGUGACUUUGUGUUCUUGAAGAUGGGUGAAUGUGCACUCCAGUUGGACAUCAAGUGCAGGACACUGCGUAAGGUGUAUGAAGCAAAAAAUGGUCGUUUGGGUUUUAAUAUCCAUCCUUUUAUGAUGAUCUGGCCUCCCACAUUCCCAACGCUCAAGUAUGAUGCUGCAAGAGAUGCAAUGGGGAGAAGAAUUAUACCAGGAAGCUCAUGGAUGGCACCUAUGCCGAGAGUGACCAGGGCGGCAUCAAGGAAGAGCAGUAGCGGAAAUCUGGUUAUGAUCCAAGUGAAAGCGAAGCUAUAUUUCCUAACAGGGAGAAAACCUAGGAAUUAUUAG
rnacentral:rRNA from 1 species